rnacentral:lncRNA from 1 species
AAUGGCAUUUAUAGGGCAAAUGUAUUUUUACAUAUUUUAUUUUGAAGAAAAACUACUUCCAAAAGUUGUAUCUUGGUAGAACAUGAUUUUACAAAUUUUCUGGAAUUUGUUUGGACCAAUUUGGAGUUCAAACACAAAAGAUAUCAAAGAAAUGAGAAAAUCAGAAAAAGAAAAGGCCUAAAAGAAAGAAAGAAAAAGGGUAAACCGGAUGGGCCCGGCCAAAAUGGGCCGAACCGGCCUAGUCCGACCGCGCCCGACCGGCCCAGACCGCCCGGUCCGCGCGCGUGCGCCCGC